UCAUUCAUAUGGCCAGCCAAAGCAAGAACAAAAGAAGAAAAGGAAAAACAAAACCCUAGGUGAAAAAUUCAAGGGAAAAGUGUGAAAAUUCAAGGAAACAAGUGAAAAAAAGGUAAAAUUUUUCAAUUAAGCUUGAGAUCUCUCUUUCUUAAGCAUUUUUCUUAUUUUCCAUGAUUGAAUCACAUGAUUUCAUGAUGGGUAUCUUGCUGGCUGAACACUUAGAGAGAGGUUUUGAUGCUUGAUUUGGUUAGAUUUUAAUGUAUUUUAGUGUUUUUAGUUGAUUGAUGAUGUGUAGCAUGAAAAUCAAGUAAGAAAAAUUCAUGUUCUUCCAUCACCCAUCAUUGGCCGAAUUCUCCAUGUGGAAUAUUGAGGAUGAUUUUGAUUUUAUUUCAAGUGAUUUGGUUAGGAAUUAGUGAUUUAGGGUGUGAGAAUCAAGUAGGAAAAAUUAUAGUGUUGAUGCAACCACCGUGGCCGAAUUUUCCAAGAGAAAAUGUGAGGAUGAUUUUGCCAUAUUUCAAGUUGUUUAAUUUGUGUUUGAUGGUUUAGAGAAUUGGAAGAAAAAUGGAAUUAUUUGGAGUUGAAUUGGACGUAUUGGCCAAUUAAUCGGGUGAUAGAUCGAAUUAGGCCAAUACCGUUUUAUUUAGGUACACAAUUGAAUUUAUGUAGAACACCGUGUUUAGACGAUAAUCCGAACAAUUUACAUCCCAUUUCAUGCAUUAGUAUAAAGCUUGAAUUGGUUUUAUAACAAUUUAGCACAAAUGUAGUAAAUGGCUUAUUGUGCAUUAUGUUUAGGUGGUGAGUAUUUUGGUCAAAGUAAAGAGAUAGUACCCGAGGAUCAAGAAUCGGAGCACUCGAAAUUUGACUCCCAAAAUAGUGAGUAACCUUACUAUCAUCUUAAUUAUCUAAAGUGGUUUUUAUUCGAUUUUAUGAUUUUAUGGAAAAUGAGUUUAAAUGGUUAAUUUUUAGGUUUUAUAAACAAAAUGUGUUUAAAUGAAAUGAUUUUAUAAAUUGUCUUGAAAUUGAAUGAUGGCUUUGAAAAUAGAGUAAUUGGAGACCAUUUGAUGUAUUGUGAAUUUAUGGUUCUAAUUGAUUGGCUUAUGGCAAUAUUGGCAUGAAUGGNGGCUUAUGGCAACAUUGGCAUGAAUGGCUGAAUUGGUAUUUGUGUUGAAAAUGCAUAACUGUUGUUUGCCUUGAUAGGCUGGAUUGUGAUAAUAUUGCCAUGUCAUGAUAUUGAAUUUUUAUUGUAUGGUGGGUUAUAAUUAGUCGCUGUAGUGGACGAGUUUCGUGGACCAGCCUAUUAGAGGGGGCAUGGUAACCCUAAUAUAUUCAUACCUCAGUAUGAGAGGCACAGAUGGAUAACUCCUGAGGUUAACACUUUAGAGUUCACUUCACGCCAAACCACCACGUGAGGGUGAAUUCAGCCAACGCCAAGGAACGGCUAUGUUUUCAAAAAAAAAACAUGAUUUAUGCGUUCAUAACUUUUUAAUAGCCUUGGCGGACUCAGUUGGGAUAGCCCUCGGCCAAGGUAUCCCUGAUAAGUGAGUAUGAGAAUGGUUUUGGCACAAGCCAAAGUUUUAAGAAAUUCAUAAGCCAUGUUGAUUACUCUAUUUAUAUGAAUUGAUUUUAUUUGGUUAAAAUGAGUCGAAAGGUGAUAAAUUACAAUAUGAUGAUCUAUUUUAAUCUGUCUCCAUUUACUCAGCUUUAGAUAUUUUAGAUGGUAUUUGUUUACUCACUGAGAUUAUAUAAUCUCACCACCCUCCUUUCUACCCAUUUCAAGCUCAGGAUAGUCGGUGGAUAGCUCAUUUCGUUGAGGGCUACAGUUGGACUUGCAUCCUCAAAAACUGUAGGUUCAUAGCCUUCAUUACUUUUGGUCGUUCAUAGGGCUAUGUGUCACUGUAAAUUAAAUUUUAUACUUUGGUUAUCUGUAUUACAGUAUGUAUGAAUUUAUUUAACUUUUAUGCUACAAAAAUUAUUUAUCGGUAACUUUAUAAAUAUUAUUUUAUAAGAAAAUAGAAUAUUUUAU
rnacentral:lncRNA from 1 species